rnacentral:tRNA from 1 species
GAGGAGGCAGCUCUGUGGUAGAGUGCACGAUUUGUAUGCAUGACGUCCUGGGUUCAAUCCCCAGCUUCUCCC